UGGGGAAUAUUGGACAAUGGGCGAAAGCCUGAUCCAGCCAUGCCGCGUGUGUGAAGAAGGUCUUCGGAUUGUAAAGCACUUUAAGUUGGGAGGAAGGGCAGUAAGCGAAUACCUUGCUGUUUUGACGUUACCGACAGAAUAAGCACCGGCUAACUCUGUGCCAGCAGCCGCGGUAAUACAGAGGGUGCAAGCGUUAAUCGGAAUUACUGGGCGUAAAGCGCGCGUAGGUGGUUCGUUAAGUUGAAUGUGAAAGCCCCGGGCUCAACCUGGGAACUGCAACCAAAACUGGCGGGCUAGAGUAGGGCAGGGGGUGGUGGAAUUUCCUGUGUAGCGGUGAAAUGCGUAGAUAUAGGAGGGAACACCAGUGGCGAAGGCGACCACCUGGGCUCAUACUGACCCUGAGGUGCGAAAGCGUGGGGAGCAAACAGG
rnacentral:rRNA from 1 species